rnacentral:rRNA from 1 species
UUGUGGGGUGACGGCGUGCCUAUCGAAAAAUGAGUCUGCGAGUCAGUGGUAUGUGGCGAGGCUAACCCGGGUGGGGGAGCCGUAGCGAAAGCGAGUUUUAAAAGGCGUUUUAGUCGCAUGUCCUGGACCCGAAGCGGGAUGAUCUAGCCCUGAGCAGGUUGAAGCGCGGGUAAGACCGUGUGGAGGACCGAACCCACCUAGGUUGAAAACUGGGGGGAUGACUUGGGGUUAGGGGUGAAAGGCCAAUCAAAUUCCGUGAUAGCUGGUUCUCUCCGAAAUGCAUUUAGGUGCAGCGUCAUGUUAUUGCUUGCAGGGGGUAGAGCUACUGGAUGCUUGCGGGCCCAUACCGGGUACUAAUAGCAGCCAAACUCCGAAUACCUGUUAGGUUUAUCAUGGCAGUGAGUCGGCGGGGGAUAAGCUCCGUCGUCAAAAGGGAAACAGCCCUGAUCGUCGUCUAAGGUCCCGAAGCGCGUGCUAAGUGGGAAAGGAUGUGGAGUCGCAUAGACAGCCAGGAGGUUGGCUCAGAAGCAGCCAUCCUUGAAAGAGUGCGUAACAGCUCACUGGUCUAGUGGUUCCGCGCCGACAAUGUAGCGGGGCUUAAGCACGCCACCGAAGACGCGACUGCAUGAUUUAGUUCAUGUGGGGUAGGAGAGCGUCCUGUAUGGGGUGAAGCGGCAGUGUGAACUUGUCGUGGACUAUACGGGAGUGAGAAUGCAGACAUGAGUAGCGAGAGACAGGUGUGAAUCCUGUCCGCUGAAUGACUAAGGGUUCCGGGGCCACGUUCGUCGUCCCCGGGUGAGUCGAGUCCUAAGGCGAGGCCGACAGGCGUAGUCGAAUGGAUGAACGGGUUGAUAUUCCCGUACCGGUGUUACACCGUUCGAACUGAAUCUGAGAGUACUAACCUUCGUUAUUCUGGUUGAUUAUCUUUCGGGGUUUUCUUCUGGUUUAGUGUUGGGAGCGUAUCGGUAGUAGGUUAGCGUGGGAGUGACGCGGGUAGGUAGCCGGCUGCGGAGGUGGUUUUCCGUGGCUAAGCGUGUGGGCUGUCCUCUAGGUAAAUCCGGGGGAUGUUUAAGCUGAGGCGUGAUGGGUAGGCUGUAAGGCUGAUUCCGGUGAUCCUGCUUGCCGAGAAAAGCUUCAACGUGAGGUGUGAUUCCGCUCGUACCCUAAACCGACACUGGUGGUCUGGUAGAGUAUACCAAAGCGAUCGGGCGAAUCCUGGCCAAGGAACUCGGCAAAUUACUCCCGUGCCUUCGGCAUAAGGGAGACCCCUGAUGGUGAUGUUUUUUACAAGCGGAGCUGUUGGGGGUGGCACAAGCUAGGGGGUAGCGACUGUUUACCAAAAACACAGGAGCGUGCGAAGGCGUAAGCCGCUGUAUACGCUCUGACGCCUGCCCGGUGCCGGAAGGUUAAGAGGAUCCGUUAGCUUCGGUGAAGCGGUGAAUUUAAGCCCCGGUAAACGGCGGUGGUAACUAUAACCAUCCUAAGGUAGCGAAAUUCCUUGUCGGGUAAGUUCCGACCUGCACGAAUGGCGUAACGACUUCCCCACUGUCUCGGCCAGGAGCCCGGCGAAAUUGCAGUACGAGUAAAGAUGCUCGUUAAGCGCAGAAGGACGAAAAGACCCCGGGACCUUUACUAUACCUUGGUAUUGUCGUUAGGUGUGGAUCGUGUAGCAUAGGCGGGAGGCUGUGAAGCGUGGGCGCUAGCUUGCGUGGAGUCGAUCAGUGAAAUACCGCUCUUUCCAUAUCUGGCGUCUAACCUCGACACGUUAUCCGUGUUAGGGACAGUGCCUGGCGGGUAGUUUAACUGGGGCGGUUGCCUCCUAAAGAGUAACGGAGGCGCUCAAUGGUCCGCUCAGCCCGGUUGGCAAUCGGGUGUUGAGUGUAAUCGCACAAGCGGGCUUGACUGUGAGACUGACGGGUCGAGCAGGGACGAAAGUCGGAGAUAGUGAUCCGGUGCCGGCGUACGGACGUGGCAUCGCUCAACGGAUAAAAGGUACCCCGGGGAUAACAGGCUGAUCAUUCCCAAGAGUCCAUAUCGACGGGAUGGUUUGGCACCUCGAUGUCGGCUCGUCGCAUCCUGGGGCUGGAGCAGGUCCCAAGGGUUCGGCUGUUCGCCGAUUAAAGCGGCACGCGAGCUGGGUUCAGAACGUCGUGAGACAGUUUGGUCUCUAUCCUCUGCGCUCGUUGGAAUGUUGAGGAGACCUGCCCAUAGUACGAGAGGACCUGGGUGGACGAACCUCUGGUAUGCCGGUCGUCACGCCAGUGGCGCUGCCGGUUAGCUACGUUUGGAAGGGAUAACCGCUGAAAGCAUCUAAGCGGGAAGCCUGCUCCAAGAUUAGCAUUCCUUGCACUUUGUGUGUGAGCCCCCAUGUAGAACACGUGGUUGAUAGGCUGGAUGUGGAAGCCCUGUAAGGGGUGGAGCUGACCAGUACUAAUGGGCGAUUGUGAUACUAC